rnacentral:rRNA from 1 species
UACGAAGGGGGCUAGCGUUGUUCGGAAUCACUGGGCGUAAAGGGCGCGUAGGCGGCCGAUCAAGUCGGGGGUGAAAGCCUGUGGCUCAACCACAGAAUUGCCUUCGAUACUGUUUGGCUUGAGACCGGAAGAGGUUAGUGGAACUGCGAGUGUAGAGGUGAAAUUCGUAGAUAUUCGGAAGAACACCAGUGGCGAAGGCGGCUCACUGGUCCGGUACUGACGCUGAGGUGCGAAAGCGUGGGGAGCAAACAGG